CCUACGGGUGGCAGCAGUGGGGAAUAUUGCACAAUGGGGGAAACCCUGAUGCAGCAACGCCGCGUGAGUGAAGAAGUAUUUCGGUAUGUAAAGCUCUAUCAGCAGGGAAGAAGAUGACGGUACCUGAUUAAGAAGCCCCGGCUAAGUACGUGCCAGCAGCCGCGGCAAUACGUAGGGGGCAACCGUUAUCCGGAUGUUCUGGGUGUAAAGGGGGCGCAGACGGGGGUGCAAGCCAGGAGUGAAAGGCCGGGGCCCAACCCCGGGACUGCUCUUGAAACUGCGUGGCUGGAGUGCAGGAGGGGCAGGCGGAAUUCCUGGUGUAGCGGUGAAAUGCGUAGAUAUCAGGAGGAACACCGGUGGCGAAGGCGGCCUGCUGGACUGCAACUGACGUUGAGGCCCGAAAGCGUGGGGAGCAAACAGGAUUAGAUACCCGGGUAGUC
rnacentral:rRNA from 1 species